AGAGUUUGAUCCUGGCUCAGAUUGAACGCUGGCGGCAUGCUUUACACAUGCAAGUCGAACGGCAGCACAGAGAAGCUUGCUUCUUGGGUGGCGAGUGGCGAACGGGUGAGUAACAUAUCGGAACGUACCGAGUAAUGGGGGAUAACUAAUCGAAAGAUUAGCUAAUACCGCAUAUUCUCUGAGGAGGAAAGCAGGGGACCUUCGGGCCUUGCGUUAUUCGAGCGGCCGAUAUCUGAUUAGCUAGUUGGUGGGGUAAAGGCCUACCAAGGCGACGAUCAGUAGCGGGUCUGAGAGGAUGAUCCGCCACACUGGGACUGAGACACGGCCCAGACUCCUACGGGAGGCAGCAGUGGGGAAUUUUGGACAAUGGGCGCAAGCCUGAUCCAGCCAUGCCGCGUGUCUGAAGAAGGCCUUCGGGUUGUAAAGGACUUUUGUCAGGGAAGAAAAGGCUGUUGCUAAUAUCGACAGCUGAUGACGGUACCUGAAGAAUAAGCACCGGCUAACUACGUGCCAGCAGCCGCGGUAAUACGUAGGGUGCGAGCGUUAAUCGGAAUUACUGGGCGUAAAGCGAGCGCAGACGGUUACUUAAGCAGGAUGUGAAAUCCCCGGGCUCAACCUGGGAACUGCGUUCUGAACUGGGUGACUAGAGUGUGUCAGAGGGAGGUAGAAUUCCACGUGUAGCAGUGAAAUGCGUAGAGAUGUGGAGGAAUACCGAUGGCGAAGGCAGCCUCCUGGGAUAACACUGACGUUCAUGCUCGAAAGCGUGGGUAGCAAACAGGAUUAGAUACCCUGGUAGUCCACGCCCUAAACGAUGUCAAUUAGCUGUUGGGCAACUUGAUUGCUUAGUAGCGUAGCUAACGCGUGAAAUUGACCGCCUGGGGAGUACGGUCGCAAGAUUAAAACUCAAAGGAAUUGACGGGGACCCGCACAAGCGGUGGAGCAUGUGGUUUAAUUCGAAGCAACGCGAAGAACCUUACCAAGUCUUGACAUACUGUGAGGACACAAGAGAUUGUGUUGUUCUGACCUUUGGUUAGACACAGAUACAGGUGGUGCAUGGUUGUCGUCAGCUCGUGUCGUGAGAUGUUGGGUUAAGUCCCGCAACGAGCGCAACCCUUGUCAUUAGUUGCCAUCAUUUAGUUGGGCACUCUAAUGAGACUGCCGGUGACAAGCCGGAGGAAGGUGGGGAUGACGUCAAGUCCUCAUGGCCCUUAUGACCAGGGCUUCACACGUCAUACAAUGGUCGGUACAGAGGGUAGCCAAGCCGCGAGGUGGAGCCAAUCUCACAAAACCGAUCGUAGUCCGGAUUGCACUCUGCAACUCGAGUGCAUGAAGUCGGAAUCGCUAGUAAUCGCAGGUCAGCAUACUGCGGUGAAUACGUUCCCGGGUCUUGUACACACCGCCCGUCACACCAUGGGAGUGGGGGAUACCAGAAGUAGGUAGGGUAACCGCAAGGAGCCCGCUUACCACGGUAUGCUUCAUGACUGGGGUGAAGUCGUAACAAGGUAGCCGUAGGGGAACCUGCGGCUG
rnacentral:rRNA from 1 species